rnacentral:tRNA from 1 species
GCCUCCAUAGCUCAGUGGAUAGAGCAGCUGCCUUCUAAGCAGUAGGUCGCAGGUUCGAAUCCUGCUGGAGGCG